ensembl:lncRNA
UGGGAUUCCAGAGAGUUGGUGGAUAUGUCAUAGGCUGUAGGGUCGUGAUUGGCUGAGAACCAGGAAACGUUAUCGUUGUUCUGGGGAGAGAGCUAGGCUAAAGUGCGAUGCUAAUAUUGGCCUAAUGCUAAACGCUAGCUCCUAUUGCCGAGUUUUCGUGACGCCUACGGAGCCCUCGGCUAUAGACAGACCGUCGCCGUUCUCACUGACCCAACAGUUUAUUCGAUGUAGUUGCUUUUGCGUUGGCUACAGCCCACAGUAGCCUGUGUAUUAAUUGGGAAAUAAAUCGCCAGAAAACCCCAGUUCCGUCUCGUGGCAUUUUUACAGAGGGACGCUACAAUUUUUUUCUGUAGGUAUAGGUAAUUGGUGUUGAGACAGUUGGGUUGAGACGGGCUUCUGCUUCAAGCAUUGUUCCUAAGGCUCUGUAGAAAUUUGAUAUGGCAGUGUAAGGGGUGUUCCGUUGCAGUAGCUACAUCACCAUCAUUACAUGAUUCUUCAGCUGAUUGCCAGGAUGAGGAGUUUGUGGAAGAGGAAGUUUCUGUUGCACCCCUAGAUAAAUGCAGAAUUUAAGCGCAUUACCACCAUGCCCCUGCAAUCCAGAUUUCUGACACAGCUGGAUGUAAGAUCUGACAAACUUCUAAAGCUGUUCGAAAAACGAGGAGGACAGAUAGGCAAGCGUCUUGAGAGAACUUUGGCCCCCAUGACUCAAGUAAGAAUGAAUUUUUGGGAAAUAAAAUACUGAAUUUACAGAGAAAUUUGAUAGAGGAAAAAGGAUUCCAAACAAAUGUCUU